AAGAAGCAAGACUGUCAAGCUUUUCAUCGCUGGAAGGAGCAGAGAUCUUCAAAACAGAACCACAUUUUUAGAGUUGAACUCCAUGUACGCAAAAGAGCUGCAGGAUCUCGGUCUGCUCCAGAGGCCUUCACCAUCACCGACCCCCACUACUACAUCUCACCCACUGCGGAGGCGCUACAAGCGGCGUGAGAGGAAGCAGAAGAGGGAAACAUGGCCCAGCAACAGCUUUCCAGACUGUGCUAUUCAGCUCGAUUAGCUGACAUGCUUUUGAGCGGACAGAGUCCUCGUCGUGGGAGAAAUAAAUUGCAUGGCAUUCACGGCAUAGGUGGUCGUCUCAAAACAACCUGGCAGCAGAACUGAACGCCUGUGAGCAAAGAUGGCGGAUCUCAAUGGGGGGCAUCCUGCGUCAGCCAAGCAACUGCCACUGAGAUGAAAUGUAAAUGCUAAUUGGUGGCUUUCAUCAGAUGUCAUCUCAGAGUUUUAUUUGGGGAUCUGAGAAGCCCAGCUUGUCAAAACUGGUGUCUGGCCCGUGGGGAACGGAUGGCUCAUCUCCAGUAUGUGCUCCCAGCUGAAAGCAGUCAACAAGCUCUGCUGUAACUGAGCCAAUUUUUCAAAGCGUUCCGCUGAUGUGAUUGGUAUCGUCCUCGGGCUGGAUGGGUCCACUCUCAGUGACGGGGGAGGGAAGGUUAUAGAGGACUGUUGGCAGAUGCCUUUUGUCUUGCAGGCAGCCCAUGCAGAGCAGCAAAUAAGUU
ensembl:lncRNA